GGGCUCCUACGGGACGCAGCAGUGGGGAAUAUUGGACAAUGGGGGGAACCCUGAUCCAGCGACGCCGCGUGAGUGAAGAAGUAUUUCGGUAUGUAAAGCUCUAUCAGCAGGGAAGAAAGAAAUGACGGUACCUGACUAAGAAGCCCCGGCUAACUACGUGCCAGCAGCCGCGGUAAUACGUAGGGGGCAAGCGUUAUCCGGAUUUACUGGGUGUAAAGGGAGCGUAGACGGCGAUGCAAGGC
rnacentral:rRNA from 1 species